rnacentral:rRNA from 1 species
AGCAGCCGCGGUAAUUCCAGCUCCAAUAGCGUAUAUUAAAGUUGUUGCAGUUAAAAAGCUCGUAGUUGAAUUUCGGGAUCAAUACGUCGGUCGUACCUCGGUACGUACUAACGUCAUUGAUUUCUCCCUUCUGACGAACCAUGAUGCCAUUAAUUUGGUGUUAUGGGAAAUCAGGACUGUUACUUUGAAAAAAUUAGAGUGUUUAAAGCAGGCUCACGCUUGAAUACAUUAGCAUGGAAUAAUGAAAUAGGACGUUCGAUCCUAUUUUGUUGGUUUUUAGGAUCAACGUAAUGAUUAAUAGGGAUAGUUGGGGGCAUUAGUAUUCAAUUGUCAGAGGUGAAAUUCUUGGAUUUAUUGAAGACUAACUACUGCGAAAGCAUUUGCCAAGGAUGUUUUCAUUAAUCAAGAACGAAAGUUAGGGGAUCGAAGACGAUCAGAUACGUCGUAGUCUUAACCAUAAACUAUGCCGACUAGGGAUCGGAUGAUGUUAAUUAUUUAAUGACUCAUCGGCGCCUUACGG